CCCUCAUCAGGACCUUGUGGUCCUCCACCUCCUCCAUCACCUGCCCCUGAAGAAUGGCUUCAUAUGAACUACAUAAAUCAACAGCCAUGAACAGGACUUUAAAAUGAAAACAACAACAGGUCUGGUUGGCUGAGAUGAAAGAGCGACGAGAGAAAAGAGAGUGGCAGUGAUUUCAUCCUGCGACGAAAGGUCAUAAAUAUAAUACAUUUUGAUGGAGACAAAGGCCUUUUCACAGGACAAGCUGCGCGUGAUGGAUGAUUGGUGCAGUCGAGUAAUCUCCACCAAGGUGCUUUGUCCAACCUCCUCUUUCUGCCUCAGAAAAAACAGAGA